rnacentral:rRNA from 1 species
UACGUAGGUGGCAAGCGUUGUCCGGAUUUACUGGGCGUAAAGAGCGCGCAGGCGGUCAGAUAAGUCGAAUGUGAAAGCCCCCGGCUCAACUGGGGAGGGUCAUUCGAUACUGUUCGACUCGAAGGCAGGAGAGGGAAGCGGAAUUCCCGGUGUAGUGGUGAAAUGCGUAGAUAUCGGGUGGAACACCAGUGGCGAAGGCGGCUUCCUGGCCUGUUCUUGACGCUGAGGCGCGAAAGCUAGGGGAGCAAACGGG